GGACACAAGCUUCUUGCUUGUCAUGUUGAAUCGGCAGACGUGGUGCACCGCAGGGUCCUCCCACCGCAUGAUUGGCCUGGACAGUAUGAAGUAAAGGUCUCCACCAUCGCCUUCCUCCAUGCUCAGCAGGGGGUACACUGGCUCGGUCUCCGGUAAUCCAUCCUUCUUGAAGUCAUCCAGUUCCCACAGAGUUCCGAAGCGCAGCUCCUCGCCCUUGGUCCACUGCAAGGUACCCA
rnacentral:misc_RNA from 1 species